GGGAACAGCAGUGAACACAAAAUACUCACCAUGAAUUUGUGGUUGAACUGCAUUUUCCUUGUAUCUCUUUUAAAAGGUGUGCAGUGUGCAGUGAGACUGGUGGAGUCUGGAGGUGGCUUAGUACAACCAGGGGUUUCCAUAAAACUCUCCUGUGAAGCCUCUGGAUUCACCUUUAGUGAUUUCUAUAUGAACUGGCUCCGCCAACCUCCAGGGAAAGGUCUGGAAUGGAUUGCAGUGAGUAGAAACAAAGCAAAUAGUCACACAACAGAGUACAGCACAACUGUCAAAGGCCGGUUUACCAUCUCCAGAGAUAAUUCCAAAGAUACCCUCUACCUGCCAAUGGACAGCCUGAAACCUGAGGACACAGCCACUUACUACUGUGCAAGAGACUCCACAGUGAGGGGAAUUCAGUGUGAGCCCAGAGAGAAAACUCUGUGCAGAGAUGCUCAAAACCAACAAGUGGCGCUCAAGGACACAGACCAUGAGAGAAAACGAGGUUCUCCAUAUACCAACUUUCUCAGGAAAGUUCUCUGGAACAUAUAA